rnacentral:tRNA from 1 species
GGCGGAUGUAGCCAAGUA